AGAGUUUGAUCCUGGCUCAGGACCAACUGCUGGCGGCGUGCUUAACACAUGCAAGUCGAACGAGAUCCAAGGUGUAGCAAUACACCGGAAGAUCUAGUGGCGAACGGGUGAGGAACACGUGAGAAACCUGCCCCAGACUUUGGGAUAACAAGUGGAAACGCUUGCUAAUACCGAAUGACGUCGGAGAACCGCAUGGUUCACUGACGAAAGGAAUUCCGGUUUGGGAGGGUCUCGCGGCCUAUCAGCUUGUUGGUGGGGUAAUGGCCUACCAAGGCAACGACGGGUAGCUGGUCUGAGAGGAUGAUCAGCCACACUGGGACUGAGACACGGCCCAGACUCCUACGGGAGGCAGCAGUGGGGAAUCUUGCGCAAUGGGCGAAAGCCUGACGCAGCAACGCCGCGUGCGGGAUGAAGGCCUUCGGGCUGUAAACCGCUUUCAGCAGGAACGAAAAUGACGGUACCUGCAGAAGAAGGAGCGGCCAACUACGUGCCAGCAGCCGCGGUGACACGUAGGCUCCAAGCGUUGUCCGGAUUUAUUGGGCGUAAAGAGCUCGUAGGCGGUUGAGUAAGUCGGGUGUGAAAACUCUGGGCUUAACCCGGAGACGCCAUCCGAUACUGCUCUGACUUGAGUUCAGGAGGGGAGUGGGGAAUUCCUAGUGUAGCGGUGAAAUGCGCAGAUAUUAGGAGGAACACCGGUGGCGAAGGCGCCACUCUGGACUGAAACUGACGCUGAGGAGCGAAAGCAUGGGUAGCAAACAGGAUUAGAUACCCUGGUAGUCCAUGCCGUAAACGGUGGGCAC
rnacentral:rRNA from 1 species